rnacentral:tRNA from 3 species
GCUCCGGUAGUAUAGCCCGGCCAAGUAUUCCGGCCUUUCGAGCCGGAGACCCGGGUUCAAAUCCCGGCCGGAGCACCA